CCGUAGCAAUACGGUACUGGCGCACGGCGCACGGGUGCGUAACACGUGGGUAAUCUGCCCUCUGAUGGGGAAUAACCCGCCGAAAGGCGGGCUAAUUCCGCAUAACAUUCCUUGGACUCCGGUUCGAGGAUUCAAAGGCGUAAGUCGUCGGAGGUGGAGCCCGCGCACGAUUAGCUAGUUGGUGAGGUAAUGGCUCACCAAGGCUAUGAUCGUUAGCUGGUCUGAGAGGAUGGCCAGCCACACUGGAACUGAGACACGGUCCAGACUCCUACGGGAGGCAGCAGUGGGGAAUCUUGCACAAUGGGCGAAAGCCUGAUGCAGCGACGCCGCGUGGGGGAUGAAGCUUUUCGGAGUGUAAACCCCUUUCGACCGGGACGAAUACCUCGCAAGAGGGGUGACGGUACCGGUAUAAGAAGCCCCGGCUAACUACGUGCCAGCAGCCGCGGUAAGACGUGGGGGGCCAGCGUUGCUCGGAAUUACUGGGUGUAAAGGGUUCGUAGGCGGUGUGGCAAGUCGGGAGUGAAAUCUCUGGGCUUAACUCAGGGGCUGCUUCCGAAACUGCCGUGCUAGAGUGUGGGAGAGGCGCGUGGAAUUGCAGGUGUAGCGGUGAAAUGCGUAGAUAUCUGCAGGAACACCCGUGGCGAAAGCGGCGCGCUGGACCACUACUGACGCUGAGGAACGAAAGCUAGGGGAGCAAACAGGAUUAGAUACCCUGGUAGUCCUAGCCCUAAACGAUCAGGACUUGGGGUGCCACCCGUUCGGGUGUCGUCCCGGAGCUAACGCGUUAAGUCCUGCACCUGGGGAGUACGGUCGCAAGACUG
rnacentral:rRNA from 1 species